AACGAACGCUGGCGGCAGGCUUAACACAUGCAAGUCGAACGCCCCGCAAGGGGAGUGGCAGACGGGUGAGUAACGCGUGGGAAUCUACCUAGUUCUACGGAACAACUGAGGGAAACUUCAGCUAAUACCGUAUACGCCCUACGGGGGAAAGAUUUAUCGGAAUUAGAUGAGCCCGCGUAAGAUUAGCUAGUUGGUGGGGUAAUGGCCUACCAAGGCGACGAUCUUUAGCUGGUCUGAGAGGAUGAUCAGCCACACUGGGACUGAGACACGGCCCAGACUCCUACGGGAGGCAGCAGUGGGGAAUAUUGGACAAUGGGCGCAAGCCUGAUCCAGCCAUGCCGCGUGAGUGAUGAAGGCCUUAGGGUUGUAAAGCUCUUUCAGUGGGGAAGAUAAUGACGGUACCCACAGAGGAAGCCCCGGCUAACUUCGUGCCAGCCGCCGCAGUAAGAC
rnacentral:rRNA from 1 species